rnacentral:lncRNA from 1 species
GCUUCUGUAAAGCUGCUCUUCCCUUAAAGAUAAAAAAAAAAAAAAAAUAGAAAAGGAAACAAAAAGAAAAAGAAAAAAGGGCAUAAAACUAUCUUCCAGCCUUUGAAUGUAAACAAAACUCUGACCUGGAUCUGUAGGGUGGGCCAUUUCAGUGAAGAAAGGCUGCCAGAGGCAGACAAAACCAGAAGUGUGAGGAACUAAAUGGAAGCAGAAAGCUGGCCAACUUCUCUCCAUCCCAUCUGGCAGGUCUCUGGUUCUCACACCGAGCUCUGGAAGCCAUUGGGCCGUUCCCAGCCUGCUGGGACAUUCUUCCUGGCAGAAACUGGGAAGCCCUAGAACCGGAAGACCUAAAUCAGCCUAAAAGAC